rfam:Penicillium oxalicum 114-2 unplaced genomic scaffold scaffold_8, whole genome shotgun sequence.
ACAUACGACCAUAGGGUGUGGAAAAUAGGGCUUCCCGUCCGCUCAGCCGUACUCAAGCCACACGCCGGUUAGUUAGUAGUAUGGUGGGUGACCACAUGCGAAUCCUAACUGUUGUAUGUU